CCUGGUGGCUCAGACGGUAAAGAAUUUGCCUGAAAUGCAGGAGACCCAGGUUCAAUCCCUGGGUCAGGA
rnacentral:tRNA from 1 species